rnacentral:lncRNA from 1 species
ACAGCUCAGUACUACAACGCCAGGGUCAAAGUCAAAUCUUUCAGACCAGGGGACCUUGUCCUAAGAAGAGCUGAAACCUCCCGACCAACUGAGCGAGGGAAGCUGGCCCCGAAUUGGGAAGGACCAUACCGAGUCACGCGCAUUCGCCGACCCGGAACUUAUCAAUUGGAGUCUCUAGAUGGGACUCCCAUUCCGCGGAGCUGGAGCUCUGAAAAUCUCCGCGUGUACCACCAGUA